ensembl:lncRNA
UUUCACUUUGCUGAAAAACUCUGCUUACGCUCAUUCUUCCCUGUUUGGAACAAAUUAAUCUGAGAGCAAAAUCUGGCUUGGGAUGUAUUGACAUGGAUGGCACAUUCCUUAAUGCUCUAUUUAUAUGACAAUAGAAGAGAGUUAUGUCGCCUACGCAGAAGACCUAUACAGAAGAGGUUCUUCACCAUCACUACCAGAAGCACACACAAGAUCAUCCUGAUCCCACUCAGGUUAACUGUCUGGACAGCUGUGAGUCAAGCCUUCAAGCCACGCUGCUUUAUCUGAUUGGUCUCAGACUUGAUCUGGCACAUGAAAGGAAAUGUGAGGAAGUUUCAAGCAGGGAUCGUUUUGCAAGUCCAGAGCUGAGGGUGAGGUCAAGUUCACUCACAUUUUUGGAGUAUCACAUUGCAAACAUAAAGCACCGUGCAUACAGCAUGAGGGUUGGUGGAGCAGUGGUUUCAACUGCAGGAGAUCUGUGUUGCUGGAGUAUUUUCGUGUUAUUUACCAGCAUCAAUGAAAUAUACCACACUAAAGAAACAGCAGUUGCAUGUAUUUUUUAAAGGCGACCCUUCUAGGGAAUAGGCAUAUGGUGACUUUAUCUUCGUUUUGAUGUUUAACUCACACAGGUGUUGCAAGCAUCUCGUGGAGCUGCAGGGUAAUGUUAGCAUUUAGUUAAUGAGUAAGUUCUUAUUAUUCAUGUGGCAUUAAUUUAGCCCACGAUGUUACUCCUUUCCUCUUGCGGUGCGUUCAGAGUCGUGGAGAUUGCUGCAAGAAUUUAUGGGAUGGAAAAGCAGAUAUUUAACUAUGGGGCUUUUUAAAGCUGUGUGGAGUAAUAAAAUCAUUACUGUUGGAAAAGACUACCAAGAUCAUCUAGUCUGACCAUCAACCCAUCGCCACCAUGCCCUCUAACCAUGUUCCUCAGUCCUACUGACUCGACUGCCCUCCUUGCAAACAAGCUCUGUUCCAGACUCAGCCUUAGGUCGUCACUUCAUAAAAAUGGUCUCAUUUCUACUAGGGCCUCACUGAGAUUUCCCAGUCAGUCAUUUUUCUGAAGAUGUUUAAGUCUUAAAUGCGUACUUUGUUAUUCUGAAAGGCUUUAUGGCUUUGUGUAAUCAGUUUUUCUUAAAGGAGAAUUGUUGGGUAAGCUGUACAUUUCAGCAAAACCACAAUUUAAAAUUUUGUUAUCUGUUGUAACAUGCAGUAAAUUCCAUGGUUAAUGGAAGAGCAUAUUGAGCAAAAUCCUGUGCCACUCCUGAGCUCAGUUGUACCAAGUGCUCUAAAGGCUGUCUGUGUGGAACAGGUCUGCAUGCUUGUCACUGUUGCGGUGUAAAUGUUGUAUUUCUCAACAUCUACUACGGAGAAGCAGGAGUUUAUUCUCUAAGAAUAGAAAAGCAGAACAGAUAUGAGCAGCUCCCAGGGGGUCGCUGGCCAUCAGCAUUUUCACACUUAGCAUAUUCAGAUAAGUGUGGGGACCUUGUGCGUGGUAGAUGCAAAAUGUUGUACAUACCCACUUUGUUUCCUGAAGUAUUUCUACAUUUCUAGCAUUUACUUACAGCUACCUGAAAUGUUG